rnacentral:rRNA from 1 species
UACGAAGGGGGCGAGCGUUGUUCGGAUUUACUGGGCGUAAAGGGCGCGCAGGCGGCUCAUUUUGUCAGGCGUGAAAGCCCCGGGCUUAACCUGGGAACUGCGUUUGAUACGGAUGGGCUAGAGUUCGGGAGAGGAGAGUGGAAUUCCCAGUGUAGAGGUGAAAUUCGUAGAUAUUGGGAAGAACACCGGUGGCGAAGGCGGCUCUCUGGACCGUAACUGACGCUGAGGCGGCGAAAAGCGUGGG